GAGGCCGCGCUUCCGGUCUGCUCAGCCAGGGGCGCUGCCACCCCCCUGUGGUCCACGAGGAAGGCCUGGAGGCUCUUUGGUUUUAUGCUGCUGUGAAGUGUUUGUUUGUUUGUUUUGCAAAACUGUUGCAGCAGAAGACUCGGUCACCCGCCCUGGCACGCACAGUGAGCGGGUCCUGACAAACGCCCCCUGUGGCCACACGCCUGGACAGGGAGCCUGACGGCGCCUCUGCUGGGAGAGCGGGUUGUCAGAAAGCCGCUGUGCCCGCUUGCAAAGACGGAGUUCCCAGACUGUCCGAGGAAGACGUCACUCCAAAGAACGUGAAUAACCCGGACGAUACGCUGUGACAAACUUGCACGUGGCCGUGGAAACUGUGCACGUUAAGGUAUAUUUCAGGAACAGUCUUCUUUAAAAAGGAAGGCGAUUCUGGCCCGCGCUGCAACACGAGUGAACCUGGAAGCUCUUACACUCAGAGAAAAAGCCAGACACAAGAGGACGAAGGCGGUGUGAGUCCAAGUGUGUGCGGUACCUUGAGUAGCCAGUUCACAAAGAUGGAAAGUCGAAACAGUGGUGACUGGGGGGUGGGGGAGGAGGGGAGGAGGGAUUUUGGUGCCAUGGGUACCGAAUUUCAGUUUGGGAUGAAGAAAAGAGCUUUGGAGGUGGAUGGUGGUGAUGGUGUCACAAGAAGAAUGUACUGAAUGCCACUGAACUGUACACCUAAACGUGGUUAAAAUGCUAAGUUUUAUGUGACGUAUAUUUUCCCACAAUCAU